rnacentral:rRNA from 1 species
ACCCGCUGAACUUAAGCAUAUCAAUAAGCGGAGGAAAAGAAACCAACCGGGAUUACCUCAGUAACGGCGAGUGAAGCGGUAACAGCUCAAAUUUGAAAUCUGGCUCCUGCGGAGUCCGAGUUGUAAUUUGUAGAAGAUGCUUUGGGAGGUAGGCUCGGCCUAAGUUCCUUGGAACAGGACAUCAGAGAGGGUGAGAAUCCCGUAUGUGGCCGUGGCCUACGCCCGUGUAAAGCUCUUUCGACGAGUCGAGUUGUUUGGGAAUGCAGCUCAAAAUGGGUGGUAAAUUUCAUCUAAAGCUAAAUAUUGGCCAGAGACCGAUAGCGCACAAGUAGAGUGAUCGAAAGAUGAAAAGCACUUUGGAAAGAGAGUUAAACAGUACGUGAAAUUGUUGAAAGGGAAGCGCUUGCACCCAGACUUGGGCGUCGUCGAUCAUCCGAGGUUCUCCUCGGUGCACUCGGCGAGGCACAGGCCAGCAUCGGUUUGGAUGGUUGGAGAAAGGCUCUAGGAACGUAGCUCUCUUCGGGGAGUGUUAUAGCCUAGGGCGUAAUGCAGCCCAUCUGGACCGAGGACCGCGCCUUCGGGCUAGGAUGCUGGCGUAAUGGUUGCAAGCGACCCGUCUUGAAACACGGACCAAGG